rnacentral:rRNA from 1 species
CCUGGUGACAAUAGCAAGUAGGUACCACCCGAUCCCAUCCCGAACUCGGAAGUGAAAAUACUUAGCGCCGAUGGUAGUGUGGGGUCUCCCCAUGUGAGAGUAGGACAUUACCAGGC